CGAGAAAAACAGCUUGUUGAUUCCAAGAAAUUGGGGUAGGAAAGUCCGGACAUCACAGAGCAGCAUAAAGGUUAACAACCUUCCGUCGUGAGACGAGGACAAGUGCAACAGAAAGCAAGUACAGUUCGGCUGUAGUGAAACCAGGUAAACUCUAUGCGAUGCAAUGGUAAGUAUAUCGAUGCUUUUUAGAGCAAUCUAAAAAUAGGAGUAGCUCGCUCCGAAAAUCGAGGGGUAACCAGCUCAAGGUUUGCAGUAAUGUAAACCGUAGAUAAAUAACAAGCGUCCCGUUUCAUCGGGAAACAGAAUCCGGCUUAUCGUUUUUCUCGUGGU
rfam:Cloacibacterium normanense strain NRS-1 CloNor.contig.115_1, whole genome shotgun sequence.